AUUUAUGUCACAAACCACUUGCAAAGCUUUAUGAAUUUGUUGAAAAAUUUUCAAAAUUUUUGUGGACUAACACUCCAAAACCGGCCACCCUAUUAUUAGGGUUCUUUUGGGUCUUUUAUGCAAUUACAUAAAGUUUUGAUACUUUUGUGUAUUUGCACUUUGGCCCAAAAGUUUACGUUUUUACGUUUAGGUCCAAAAGCGCUAAAGGACAAAUUGUUUUGCUCCUUUAAUGAAGUUUUUGCAUUGAUUAAAUUUUGGGUUCUAGUUGUAAUUACAUGAAGUAGUGGACUUUUGUGUCUUUACAAAGUGACCCCAAAAGUUUUGCAAUAUAGCCCAAAAGUUGAGGUUAAUUGCUUUAUGGCCCAAAAAGUUGUGGUUAUUGCAUAUUGGCCCAAAUUA
rnacentral:lncRNA from 1 species